GACGAACCGAGCGAACGUUGUUCGGAAUCACUGGGCUUAAAGGGCGCGUAGGCGGGUGCUCAAGUCCGUGGUGAAAUCCUCCGGCUCAACCGGAGAACUGCCUCGGAUACUGGGCGUCUCGAGUGUGGUAGGGGUAUGCGGAACUAUCGGUGGAGCGGUGAAAUGCGUUGAUAUCGAUAGGAACUCCGGUGGCGAAGGCGGCAUACUGGACCACCACUGACGCUGAUGCGCGAAAGCGUGGGGAGCAAACAGG
rnacentral:rRNA from 1 species